rnacentral:rRNA from 1 species
UUACAACCCAUCAGAACUAAUGAGUCAUCUAUAAACAUAUACCAAGAAUAAUGCUAGAACUAGUAAUAAGAAACAACUUCUCCAUGCCCAAGUGUAAACCAGAUUGAACCUAUCACUGAUAUUUACCACCCAUAAAAACAAUAUAACAUUAAACAAGACUGCCACAAACCAACAUCCGUUAAUCCAACACAGGAGGGCCACAAGAAAGACUUAAAAAUAAGGAAGGAAUUCAGCAAACAACAUACUUCGCCUGUUUACCAAAAACAUCGCCUCUAGCAAAUAAGACAUAUAUUAGAGGUACUGCCUGCCCAGUGAUCAUAUUCAACGGCCGCGGUAUCCUGACCGUGCAAAGGUAGCAUAAUCACUUGUCUUUUAAAUAAAGACUAGUAUGAACGGCAAGACGAAAGUUUAACUGUCUCCCCUAUUUAGUCAAUGAACCUGAUCUCCUCGUACAAAAGCGAGGAUAAAACGACAAGACGAGAAGACCCUGUGAAGCUUAAAACACAAUCAACUUUACCAAAUAGCUAUGACCUAAUGUUUUUGGUUGGGGCGACCGCGGAGAAAAAAAUCCCCCGAGAUGAGGUACUAAGAAGACAAAUCUAAGUACUAGCACAUCUAGCACAUUUGACCCAAUUAACUUUGAGCAACGAACCAAGUUACCCCAGGGAUAACAGCGCAAUCCCCUCCAAGAGUCCAUAUCGACAAGGGGGUUUACGACCUCGAUGUUGGAUCAGAGCACCCAAACAGU